rnacentral:rRNA from 1 species
UACGGAGGAUUCGAGCGUUGUCCGGAUUUAUUGGGUUUAAAGGGUGCGUAGGCGGAUUAUUAAGUCAGAGGUGAAAGCCGGCAGCUCAACUGUCGAAUUGCCUUUGAAACUGAUAAUCUUGAAUAUAGUUGAGGUAGGCGGAAUGUGACAUGUAGCGGUGAAAUGCUUAGAUAUGUUACAGAACACCGAUUGCGAAGGCAGCUUACUAAACUAUGAUUGACGCUGAGGCACGAAAGCGUGGGGAUCAAACAGG